AACGAACGCUGGCGGCAGGCUUAGCACAUGCAAGUCGAGCGCCCCGCAAGGGGAGCGGCAGACGGGUGAGUAACGCGUGGGAAUCUACCCAUCUCUACGGAAUAACGCAUGGAAACGUGUGUUAAUACCGUAUACGUCCUUCGGGAGAAAGAUUUAUCGGAGAUGGAUGACCCCGCGUUGGAUUAGCGAGUUGGUGGGGUAAAGGCCUACCAAGGCGACGAUCCAUAGCUGGUCUGAGAGGAUGAUCAGCCACACUGGGACUGAGACACGGCCCAGACUCCUACGGGAGGCAGCAGUGGGGAAUAUUGGACAAUGGGCGCAAGCCUGAUCCAGCCAUGCCGCGUGAGUGAUGAAGGCCCUAGGGUUGUAAAGCUCUUUCACCGGUGAAGAUAAUGACGGUAACCGGAGAAGAAGCCCCGGCUAACUUCGUGCCAGCCGCCGCCGUAAAAC
rnacentral:rRNA from 1 species